UACGUAGGGGGCAAGCGUUGUCCGGAUUUAUUGGGCGUAAAGAGCGUGUAGGCGGCCUGAAAGGUCAGCUGUGAAAACUCGAGGCUCAACCUCGAGACGUCGGUUGAAACCAUCUGGCUAGAGUCCGGAAGAGGAGUGUGGAAUUCCCGGUGUAGCGGUGGAAUGCGCAGAUAUCGGGAGGAACACCAAUUGCGAAGGCAGCUCGCUGGGACGUUACUGACGCGUGAGA
rnacentral:rRNA from 1 species